CCCCUUUGAUCACUGUGAAUGUAGGCAGCAUUUACCUAUCAGGGUUUCACUGAAUACCUGCUUGUGUCCUCCAGACACAGCUCUGAAAAAUCAGAAAAGGCCCUUGCCUCCCUGAGCUCAAAAGGCAGCCAGCAGCCACUAGGAGCUAAGAAUGGUGACUUGGACUGUGCUUAGAGAUAAGAAAAGGGCCUGGCUGGGGGCAGGGAGGGGACCUACUUUAGCUUCAGUCUCAGAAAAGCCUCCCUGAGGCGAUAAUGGAGCUGAGUAAGGUGAGGAGGUAAGCACGUGCUGCUCGGGGUGGGCCAGAAAGGGCCAAAGCAAAGACCUCGUGGCAAAAUGACGAGGCCCCAAAGCUAUGGGUGUGGCUGGAAUGGAAUGAAGGUCAGAGCUUCGGGAGGCUCCUACCACGAGGCUGAGGGCGGCUGGAAAGGCUGCUCUGCUGUUCCCCUGGCUAUGCCGGCGCCACGGUCCCAAUAAUCACCCUCGGGAGUCAGCCUUGGCUUCACGUCGGGAUCUCCCACUUAGACAUUUUAGGAAAGUUACUUAGUUUUCUCACGUUAAACCAGGUUUCUUCUGUGUAACGUCAGAUGAGAGGCGAUUAUUCCUUUUAUCCUUGGCCUCCGCAGCGGCCCGUCACAGAGCGAGCUCAGACUGUAAAAGACACGCAAUCUCUCAACCUCAGGAUGCCAGAAGCAGGGCAAGAGGAGUGAGUUCCCCAGGAGAAGCUGCUGCUAACUGAUGGGACUGUUGGCGGUGCCACUGCAGUGUCCCUGGUACCGUGAGGCCUCGGGCUUGGCCUGGAGUCUAAGUUGAUCUAGGCAUCCCGGCUCCUGCUCCAUCCCAGGACCCGAGCGCGGUGGCGACGUUUGUCAUCUCCACCCCGGCUCCGCCAGGAGACCCGCGCCCCUGGGCCGGAUCAAGAAGGUGGAGGCUGGGCCGAGGGGUGGGAGCCGUGGGAGCCGGCGGCAGCGCAGCCAGGCGACGCGGCUCGGGCUCCCGAAGGGGUAAGGAAGGCAGGCAGGAGAGGGGAAGACGUGGAGAGAGGAGCGGAACCGGGGCGCGCAGGAGGGCGACGCGUACCUGCCCGGCCCAACCCAGCAGCUCAACGGAAUCCCGAGCCCAGCGACUCGCGGG
rnacentral:lncRNA from 1 species